GAACUCUGGACAGCACUUCAGCAUGAUGCUGGGACCAUUUUAAACAGUGGAAUCACCAACACGCAGCAGAAAAAUGCAAAACACAUGGUACCAAGUAGACCUUGAAAAGGACACUUGCUUGUGGUAUGAGCUGAAACAAGAAGGCAGACUGUCACCUUGUUCACCCUCUGCUGGGAAUGUGCACAUCCUGCCAAAUUUUUCUCUGCUCUGUGUUCAUGGAUGGCCAUGCAAGCACUGGAGAUGAAGUCCCUGAAAAUGAGACCCAGGUCCCGAGGUGAAGCUCCUUCUCUGGGGUGCUCCGCAGGGAUUCCUAGACGGCUGUCCCCCGCUGCUGAGCCACGCUGAGCUGGCUGCUCUCACUGGAAUCCUGGAACUGGCUCUUCUCUCACAUGGGCACUCCAAGGGCCACCAGCAUCUCCUCCUACACAGCCUCACAGAGGGACAGAGUUUGACUGCGGGACUCAGCCUGAGGCAGGGGACAGAAUCCCUGAGUGUGCUCCUGGCCAGUGGCUUCAUCUCUCAUCUCUCUGUGACUCUGUUUUCUUUAGCUGUCUAUGGAAAGAAUAAGCAUGAGAAGCAUUCAAUUUGAUUCAAACUGAAGCACUGCACCUGCUUUGUGUGAGACACUUUAGCCACCUCAGGGGUACACACACAAAAGCCCACUGUCCCUGCCCUCAAGGAGCCUAUCAUAUAAUGACAGUCACUAAAAUUUGAAGAUCUCUUUACAGUUCACCUUUACUUCUGAUAUGGUUUGGCUCUGUGUGCCCACUCAAAUCUCAUCUUGAAUUGUAAUCCCCACGUGUUGAGGGAGGGACCUGAUGGGAGGUGAUUGGAUUAUGGGGGCGGUUUCCCACAUGUUCUUGUGACAGUGAAGGAGUUCUCACAAGAUCUGAUGGUUUAAAGUGUUUUGCAAUUCCCCCCUCACACUCUCUUUCCUGCCUCCUUGUGAAGAAGGUGCUUGCUUUCCCUUCGCCUUCCGCCAUGAUUGUAAGUUUCCUGAGGGCCUCCCCAACCAGGCAGAGCUGUGACUCAAUUAAAACUGUCUUCUUUGUAAAUUACCCAGUCUCAGGUGUGUCUUUAUAGCAGCAUGAGAACAGACUAAUACACCUUCUCUCACUUUUUCUUCAAAAUGAUAGGCAGUGUUAUUGACGCUGUUUCACAAACGAGGACCUCCGAUGGAAGGAGCUAGGCUACCUGGGAGAAAUGAUAUUCUGCUGGCAUCCCACUACACUUUCUACCUGAGGCAUCGUCCCUAAAACACUAGGACAUCAGGAAAACCUAAUGAUGACUACUGUUUCAUUUAGGGCCCUCUCAGCUGCAAGUACAAAGACAUAGAAACCAAGUAUUGGGUUUUUAGCUGAGAAGCCCAGCAUCAGGCUGGACCACCAUCUGCGCAUCCUGUCUGGGGUUCAUACACAACAAAGACCUGAUUUCUCUCCUGUUCUCCGCUCAGCUUUCAUGGUCUCCUGGAGCUGAGAUCUUCUCAGCCCACAGGUGAUGACAGAAUGGAGAUAGUGGUUCCGGCUUCAAUGCUUCCAGGUUCAAGUCCACGGGGAAGAACCCUGCCUCCCUCUCAGAAGGCUCAGCUCCAGUCCCCUGGGUUCCAGUAGAAGCCCAAGCCCCUCCAGGAACCCCUUACUGUUACUGUGAAGGCGGAAUAUGGCUUUGGUUAAUUGAGGCCAACUCACAGUGCUAGAUCAAUCCCCCUAAACCACAAGGGCGGAGGGUGGGACCAGAUAGGUUAUUAAGGGAAAUUUGGGUACUCUUUUACCCAGAGGGUGAACAGAUGCUAAAUGGCCCAACUAUGCACAUGUGUAGCCAUCCACUGCAACAAUGCGUAGUAGUUGGUUAAUAAAUUUAUUUUCAUUUACCAAUUGAUUUAUCAGCAAAAUGAAUAAAAACUAAGUAGGCUACCUGUAAGAAAAGGUAAUAAAAUAUGUAAAAAUGAAUUAAACACUGUAAUCUGCCUCAAGUGGAUUCAGUGGCUUUGUCUGUGAUUCCCUGAACCUGCUCUCAUUGGAUAAUUUCACCUUAUUAGUAUAUACACCACAACCUCAGAAGGCAACUAUAAGAGCCAGAUGCCUGGACAGCCAUAUGGAAAAAAAU
rnacentral:lncRNA from 1 species